rnacentral:rRNA from 1 species
CCCUUAGAUGUUCUGGGCUGCACACGUGCUACACUGGCAGGUUCAGCGAGCUUCAUGCCCUGAUCUGAAAGGAAUGGGAAAUCUUUUCAAAACCUGCCGUGCUUGGGAUAGAUGUUUGCAAUUAUUCAUCUUCAACGAGGAUUGCCUUGUAAGCGCACGUCAUCAGCGUGCAUUGAAUACGACCCUGUAUUCUGUACACACCGCCCGUCGCUCCUACCGAUUGAAGUUUUCGGUGAGUUGACAGGAGGAUUUUUUUGAAACUGGUUCGCCAGUGGAUUUUAGAUCCAAAUGCCAACGAAUCGAUGGCUUUAGAGGAAGGAGAGGUCGUAACA